AACAAAAAUGUUAAAUCAUAUGGGCAAAAAGAUCAGAUAUUAAUAUCCAAGUUAAGACCAAGACCACCUAAAAUGCAAAGACUGUGAAAGGCAGAAGUGGAAUUCAGAAAGAGUGAAAGAAAGAAAGAUAGCUGUAUGGAAGUAGUCAAGCAAUAAGUCACAUUAUAUUAAAGAUUAUCAUCAAUUGUCUCGAAGAAAACAUACACCAUCAAUAUCAAUGAAUAAUUUAGCAAAAGAAAACCCUUAAAACAGAAAUUCAACUAAAA
rnacentral:misc_RNA from 1 species